UACGAAGGGGACUAGCGUUGUUCGGAAUCACUGGGCGUAAAGCGCACGUAGGCGGAUUUGUAAGUCAGGGGUGAAAUCCCGGGGCCCAACCUCGGAACUGCCUUUGAUACUGCGAGUCUUGAGUCCGAUAGAGGUGGGUGGAAUUCCUAGUGUAGAGGUGAAAUUCGUAGAUAUUAGGAAGAACACCGGUGGCGAAGGCGGCCCACUGGAUCGGUACUGACGCUGAGGUGCGAAAGCGUGGGGAGCAAACAGG
rnacentral:rRNA from 1 species